rnacentral:rRNA from 1 species
UUAGGAAUCUUCCACAAUGGGCGCAAGCCUGAUGGAGCGACACUGCAUGAGGGAUGAAGGUUUUCGGAUCGUAAACCUCUGAACCAGGGACGAUAAUGACGGUACCUGGGUAAUAGCACCGGCUAACUCCGUGCCAGCAGCCGCGGUAAUACGGAGGGUGCGAGCGUUAUCCGGAAUCACUGGGCGUAAAGGGCACGUAGGCGGUCUUGUAAGUCCGAUGUUAAAGAGUGGGGCUCAACCCCAUCACGGCGUUGGAUACUGUAAGGCUUGACGACUGGAGAGGAAAGUAGAAUUACCAGUGUAGCGGUGAAAUGCGUAGAUACUGGUAGGAAUACCCAUUGCGAAGGCAGCUUUCUGGACAGUUUGUGACGCUGAGGUGCGAAAGUGUGGGGAGCAAACCGGAUUAGAUACCCCCGUAGUCC